rnacentral:lncRNA from 1 species
CUUUUCACGACCCAGUAGACCUCCAGAAGCAUAAAAGAAUUCAUACUGGAGAGAAACCCUACAAAUGUAUUGAAUGUGAUAAAGCCUUUUCAGAACACAAUGGCCUCCAGAUGCAUAAAAGGAUUCAUACUGGAGAGAAACCCUGCAAAUGUCAUGAAUGUGAUAAAGCCUUUUCACGACCCAGUAUACUCUAUAGGCAUAAAAGAGUUCACACUGGAGAGAAACCCUACAAAUGUAAUGAAUGUGAUAAAGCCUUUUCAGGACACAAUAGCCUCCAGAUACAUAAAAGAGUUCACACUGGAGAGAAACCCUACAAAUGUAAUGAAUGUGAUAAAGCCUUUUCAGUACACAAUAGCCUGCAGAUACACAAAAGAGUCCACACUGGAGAGAAACCCUACAAAUGUAAUGAAUGUGAUAAAGCCUUUUCAGACCACAGUAGCCUACGGAAGCAUAAAAGAAUUCAUACAGGAGAGAAACCCUACAAAUGUAAUGAAUGUGAUAAAGCCUUUUCAGACCACAAUAGCCUACGGACGCAUAAAAGAAUUCAUACAGGAGAAAAACCCUACAAAUGUAAUGAAUGUGAUAAAACCUUUUUAUACCACACUAGCCUCCAGAUACAUAAAAGAGUUCACACUGGAGAGAAACCCUACAAAUGUAAUGAAUGUGAUAAAGCCUUUUCACGACCCAGUAUCCUCUACAGGCAUAAAAGAGUUCAUACGGGGGAGAAACCCUACAAAUAUAAUGAAUGUGAUGAAGUCUUUUCAGACCACGGUAACAUUCAGAGGCAUAAAAGAAUUCAUACUGAAGACAAACCCUACAAAUGUAGUGACUGGUGAAGCCUUUUCGCAACACAAUAGUCUCCUGA